rnacentral:rRNA from 1 species
CGAAUCCUCCAGUCGAGCGGCGAACGGGUGAGUAACGCGUGGAUGACCUGCCUUUUGGUGGGGGAUAACCCGGGGAAACUCGGGCUAAUACCGCAUGAGAUCGAAAGAUGAAAGGGGCGCAAGUCCCGCCGGAAGAGGGGUCCGCGUACGAUUAGCUAGUUGGUAGGGUAAUGGCCUACCAAGGCGACGAUCGUUAGCCGGCCUGAGAGGGUGAUCGGCCACACUGGAACUGAGACACGGUCCAG